GAAGGAUCAUUAACGAAUAACUAUGGUGUCUUGGUUGUCGCUGGCUCCUCGGAGCAUCGUGCACGCCCGCCAUUUUUAUAUAUCCACCUGUGCACCGAAUGUAGGUCUGGAUGACUCUCGCCUUCGGGCGGAUGCGAGGUUUGCGUUUCGCGUGCGAGCGCUCUCCUCGAAUUUCCAGGCUCUACGUCUCUUUACACACCCCAAACGUAUGAUGCAGAAUGUAGUCAAUGGGCCUUUACAAGCCUAUAAAACACUAUACAACUUUCAGCAACGGAUCUCUUGGCUCUCGCAUCGAUGAAGAACGCAGCGAAAUGCGAUAAGUAAUGUGAAUUGCAGAAUUCAGUGAAUCAUCGAAUCUUUGAACGCACCUUGCGCUCCUUGGUAUUCCGAGGAGCAUGCCUGUUUGAGUGUCAUUAAAUUCUCAACCUCACCGGUUUUCUGAACCGUUCUCCGAGGCUUGGAUGUGGGGGUUUGUGCAGGUCGCCUCAGCGCGGUCUGCUCCCCUGAAAUGCAUUAGCGAGAUUCAUUCUGGACCUCCGUCUAUCGGUGUGAUAAUUAUCUACGUCGUUGACUUGGUUCGGACUCGCUUCUAACCGUCCGCGAGGACAACAUACUUGACAAUUUGACCUCAAAUCAGGUAGGACUACCCGCUGAACUUAAGCAUAUC
rnacentral:rRNA from 1 species